UUUGAAUGUUAAUAUUAGCCUGGGUAGUAAUAGUUAUGUUCUUGAAACCCAAAGAAUUUGGCGGUAUUUUAAUCCUUUCAGAGGAACCUGCCCCGUAAUCGACAGUCCACGAGAAGAACUACUUGUUUUUGUUUUCAGUUUGUAUACCUCCGUCAUCAGAGAAUCUUUUUAGAGAUAAAUUUUCUUGAAAUAAUAAAUAUAGGAUGUCAGGUCAAGGUGCAAUUUAUGGACAAGUGGAGGUGGGUUACAAUAAUAUUAUUUACACGGAUUGAUUAAUUUGUUAUAUCAUGAAGGUGGAUUUGAUAGUAAUAUUAAUUUUUUAUUAAUAUGAUUCUUGGCUCUAAAAUAUGC
rnacentral:rRNA from 1 species